rnacentral:tRNA from 1 species
GCCCUCGUAGUUCAACGGAUAGAAUGCAAGCUUCCGGAGCUUAAGAUGGGGGUUCAAUUCCUCCCGGGGGCA